rnacentral:rRNA from 1 species
AUGGAGGAGCCUCUUGUUGACAAGACAGGAGAGGAGAGCCUGGUAGUGAUUGAGGUGAAGAAGCAGUUGUACCUUGCCGGGCCUCUCAUCGUCGGAAGCCUCCUACAGGAUGUGGUCCAAAUGAUACCGGUCAUGUUUGUGGGUCAUCUCGGCGAACUCGCUCUCUCGAGUGCCUCCAUCGCAACCUCCUUCGCUGGUGUAACUGGCUUCAGCUUGUUGUCUGGCAUGUCGAGCAGCUUGGACACGCUGUGUGGGCAAGCCUUUGGAGCAAAACAGCACCAUCUUCUUGGCAUCUAUAAGCAGAGGGCAAUCCUUGUGCUCACUCCGGUGAGCGCCGUGGUUGCCGUAAUCUGGGGAUACACCGGUCAGAUCCUUCUGUUGUUUGGACAGGACCCUGAGAUUGCCAUGGAAGCAGGGAGCUACAUCCGAUGGUUGAUUCCGUCGUUGUUUGUCUAUGGUCCGCUGCAAUGCCAUGUCCGAUUCCUGCAGGCGCAGAACAUGGUUCUUCCGGUGAUGCUGAGCUCGGGCGUCAGCGUCACAGCACUGAACCACAUCUUCGUGUGCUGGCUGCUGGUCUACAAGCUUGGUCUAGGCAACAAGGGUGCUGUCUUGGCCAAUACAAUCUCCUGCCUCACGAAUGUGUCCAUCUUGGCUCUCUACAUCAGGCUCUCCCCGUCUUGUAAGAGCACAUGGACGGGGUUGUCGUCCGAAUGCGACAUCCUCGGUUUCUUGAGGCUUGCCGUCCCAUCUGCGCUCAUGGUUUGCUGGGAGUGGUGGUCGUUUGAGCUCCUGGUACUUGUUUCCGGAUUUCUUCCAAAUCCUAAACUUGAGGCAUCAGUACUGUCAAUCAGUUUGAAUACUAUCUCGUUGGUAUUCAGGGUCCCAUAUGGGCUUAGUGCAGCUAUAAGCACCCGUGUGUCAAAUGAGCUGGGUGCUGGGCGACCGGAUGCGGCCCGUUUGGCGACCCAGGUGAUCAUGGUCCUGGGCGUUGUGUCAAGCAUAUCGGUUGCUCUUGCUAUUGUUUUGGUGCGCAAUAUAUGGGGGUAUGCAUACAGCAACGACAAUGAAGUGGUGGAGUACAUUUCAAGGAUUAUGCCAAUUAUUGCCGUGGCAUUCUUGUUUGAUGACAUGCAGUGUGUUCUUUCAGGUAUUAUAAGGGGCUGUGGUUUUCAAAAGAUUGGUUCCUAUGUCAAUCUCAGUGCGUACUACCUCGUGGGCAUCCCGGCGGCUCUGUGCUUUGCCUUUGUGUACCAUCUUGGUGGAGUGGGGCUGUGGAUGGGAAUAACCUGCGCACUUGUCGUGCAGACAGUGUUGUUCAUGUCCAUUACUCUGCGCACCAACUGGAACAGAAAGGCUUUGAAGGCCAGGGACAGGGUUUCUAUUACUUCCCUACGUCUGGACUUGGCGACAUGA